rnacentral:rRNA from 1 species
GGCGAGUGGCGAACGGGUGAGUAAUACAUCGGAACGUGCCCAGUAGUGGGGGAUAGCCCGGCGAAAGCCGGAUUAAUACCGCAUACGACCUGAGGGUGAAAGCGGGGGAUCGCAAGACCUCGCGCUAUUGGAGCGGCCGAUGUCGGAUUAGCUAGUUGGUGGGGUAAAGGCCUACCAAGGCUACGAUCCGUAGCUGGUCUGAGAGGACGACCAGCCACACUGGGACUGAGACACGGCCCAGACUCCUACGGGAGGCAGCAGUGGGGAAUUUUGGACAAUGGGCGCAAGCCUGAUCCAGCCAUGCCGCGUGCGGGAAGAAGGCCUUCGGGUUGUAAACCGCUUUUGUCAGGGAAGAAAUGUUCUGGGUUAAUACCUCGGAGCGAUGACGGUACCUGAAGAAUAAGCACCGGCUAACUACGUGCCAGCAGCCGCGGUAAUACGUAGGGUGCAAGCGUUAAUCGGAAUUACUGGGCGUA